AAGCUGUGGAUGGACAUCUUUGAUGUCCGUGGUAGGAGAGCGUUCUAAGCGCGCCGAAGCAUGACCGUGAGGACAUGUGGAGCGCUUGGAAGUGAGAAUGCCGGUAUGAGUAGCGAAAGAAGGGUGAGAAUCCCUUCCACCGAAUGCCUAAGGUUUCCUGAGGAAGGCUCGUCCGCUCAGGGUUAGUCGGGACCUAAGCCGAGGCCGAAAGGCGUAGGCGAUGGACAACAGGUUGAUAUUCCUGUACCACCUUUCAUCCGUUUGAGCAAUGGAGGGACGCAGGAGGAUAGGGUAAGCGCACAGCUGGAUUUGUGCGUCCAAGCAGUGAGGCUGGAUGUGAGGCAAAUCCUUGCAUCCUUAAGGCUGAGCUGUGAUGGCGAGGGAAAUUAGAGUACCGAAGUUCCCGAUUCCACACUGCCGAGAAAAGCUUCUAGCGAGGAUGAAGGUGCCCGUACCGCAAACCGACACAGGUAGGCGAGGAGAGAAUCCUAAGGUGAUCGAGAGAACUCUCGUUAAGGAACUCGGCAAAAUGACCCCGUAACUUCGGGAGAAGGGGUGCUCUGGUAGGGUGCAAGCCCGAGAGAGCCGCAGUGAAUAGGCCCAAGCGACUGUUUAUCAAAAACACAGGUCUCUGCUAAACCGUAAGGUGAUGUAUAGGGGCUGACGCCUGCC
rnacentral:rRNA from 1 species